ACCUCCUAAGCGUCACAAGACUAUAAUAGAUAUUGAUGAGAACGUUCGUAGGCUAGACAGGGUCAACAUAGAGCUCCAGUCCUCGGUUAACUCUAUCACUAGGCAGCUCUCUAACCAGAACACCAUUAUACUAGGUCUUAGGCAUGAUCUUGCUAGUGCCAAUAAGAAGAUUAGGGAAUUAGAGUGCCGCUAAGUUAUCUAAAUUAGAUCUUGAGGCAAUGCAUCUUAGUUGUUUAUCUUUAAAUUCGGUUUAGAUAUAUUAUUAGCUUCAGUUCACUACUAGUCAUUUGUAAUAAAUGGCUCAAGAUUAAUAAAGAGUAUUAUUAUUAUUAUUAUUAUUAUUAUUAUUAUUAUUAUUAUUAUUAUUAUUAUUAUUAUUAUUAUUAUUACUAUUAUGUCUUGUGUGUCGCUACUUUAUUUUUAUGCAAGAAAGCAGAAAACAAGUAUGGGGGAGAUCCCUCGACACGCCAAAUGUACUUCGACUACACUACUCCACGAUUUAGGUACAUACUCUGCACACUUUACACAUACACAUAUAUCUUGGAUUAUGCAGAAUAUUGUCUCCGACAUGAUAAAUUAAAAAGAUUAAAAUGGUUCUAAUCAUGAUUAAUCUCACUCUGUGAUAUUUCGUGAAAACCUACAAUUAUUGAAAAAUCAUUUUAAAACCCUGUGUUACUUAAGUCAUUGUGGAAUGUGAGAUGGUAGAGUAUGAGUAUCUUAUUCUUGAUAUCAUUGUUGCUUGGAGAAUUUAUUAAAAAAUUCUAGCUACCAUCCUCAGUGUUUUAUAUGCCUACUAAAACUGAAAAUAUUAAUAAUUAUAAAAGCUAUCUGCUCUGUUUUGAGUUUGUUCAAAAUGAGUUAGACCCUUGUUGAGAGAUUUAUCAUACUCUCAAGAUCAAGUCAUUUAUUCAGAAAGAUUCACUCUUCCGAAGUAUUAUUGCGUUAGAGGCAUGGGCUAUGCAAAAAUAAGGAUAUUUCGAGGAAAUAAAAAAGAGCAAGUGCUCGACAACCUCGCAGAAAAAAUGGACAAGUGUCCGACAGUAGAAUUAGGGGUACCUCGUUAUCCACCUGAAAAAAAAGAGAAAAAAGAAAGAAAAUGAUAGCCCAUGGUCCCUCUAAUAAGCAAUAUGCCAGUAAGAGUUGACAAGUUUUUAAUUUCCAAUGUCUUUGAUCUAAGAGUAUGAUAUUUCUCUCCUUGGAUCCCGUUUUGAUCAGGCAAUAAAUGCAAGGUAAGUAUGCUUGAGAAUUUUUGCUAAUUAAAAUAGCCUCAGUAAGAUAUAUAAAAGAUAAUGAGUGACUUAAGAGAACCUAUGAGGAUAAAGGUAUGCUAAAUUUCUUUUAAAAAUAUAUAAAAACUCCAAGUAACAGGAUUGAGAAGAAAGGAUCUCUACUCUUGACCAUAUAUUUCCCUGACUACGGUACACAGUGAAUUUUUACAACACCCUGCAGAUAUGAAGAGAAUGCUUUACAAUGUUUUAACCCGAGAUAUUUUUCUUAACCAUCCUUUUCUCGAGGACAAGUAAAAGCCUAAGUAUGGGGGUGUUUGUUGGCGGUUCUUAAGUAUCCAUUUUAAUUAUCAAAUAAACAAGGAAAAGGACCAAUAUACAAACAACACCUAGAAUUAGGGUUUGAUCUGACAGAAUUCCACGAGUUUUGUUGUUUAUCUGUUUCUGCAGGGGGUUAUCAGGAAAUAAGGAAGAAAGGCCCACAUGUCGGGAUUACAUAGAGAUAUUAACGUGCCGCGCAAUUUUCUAUCAUCUAGAAGACUCCAGAAGCCACGGGAACGAACGAGAAGGCGAUCAGGCCCGGGGGCAGGGCGCCCGCCCUUGUGUUUCAGCCAAUCGCUUUCAACUUCGCGGAUCAUGCUCCACCGACCUAAAGGAUCAAGGAGAACCGUUCAAUCAAUGUCGGUUUGAUCUGACGGCCAACGUUCACCUGAGAGGACUAUAUAAGCAGACUCCCUGGCCCCU
rnacentral:lncRNA from 1 species